GAUGAACGCUGGCGGCGUGCCUAAUACAUGCAAGUCGAGCGAACGGACGAGAAGCUUGCUUUUCUGAUGUUAGCGGCGGACGGGUGAGUAACACGUGGAUAACCUACCUAUAAGACUGGGAUAACUUCGGGAAACCGGAGCUAAUACCGGAUAAUAUUUUGAACCGCAUGGUUCAAAAGUGAAAGACGGUCUUGCUGUCACUUAUAGAUGGAUCCGCGCUGCAUUAGCUAGUUGGUAAGGUAACGGCUUACCAAGGCAACGAUGCAUAGCCGACCUGAGAGGGUGAUCGGCCACACAGGAACUGAGACACGGUCCAGACUCCUACGGGAGGCAGCAGUAGGGAAUCUUGCGCAAUGGGCGAAAUCCUGACGGAGCAACGCCGCGUGAGUUAUGAAGGUCUUCGGAUCGUAAAACUCUGUUAUUAGGGAAGAACAUAUGUGUAAGUAACUGUGCACAUCUUGACGGUACCUAAUCAGAAAGCCACGGCUAACUACGUG
rnacentral:rRNA from 1 species